AGUACUCUGGAGGGAGUUGCUUUCUAGGCAUGGCCAAGAAAUUCAAUGGGUAGCAGGCUCAACAAAUUUUGGUAUGGCCAUGCAGUAUAUAUAUAGGUCUGCAAAUUGGAGCAGGUGCUUUAAAGAAUAUAGUGGGGAUACCGACUGACGUCGGAGAAAUAUUAAUAGUCUGAAAGCAAGCAAGCAAGAUAUAUUAAUAGUCUGAAAGCAAUGCUGAUGUUCCGAGAAAAGCUUCCUGCAUUCAAUGUGAAGUCUGAGUUCCUGAGAGCUGUUUCUGAAAAUCAGUAGGUGUUGGUAGUCUCGGGUGAGCAGCAAAGCU